AUUGAACGCUGACGGCAUGCCUUACACAUGCAAGUCGAACGGCAGCACGGGAGCAAUCCUGGUGGCGAGUGGCGAACGGGUGAGUAAUAUAUCGGAACGUGCCCAGUCGUGGGGAUAACGUAGCGAAAGCUACGCUAAUACCGCAUACGAUCUAUGGAUGAAAGCGGGGGAUCGCAAGACCUCGCGCGAUUGGAGCGGCCGAUAUCAGAUUAGGUAGUUGGUGAGGUAAAGGCUCACCAAGCCGACGAUCUGUAGCUGGUCUGAGAGGACGACCAGCCACACUGGGACUGAGACACGGCCCAGACUCCUACGGGAGGCAGCAGUGGGGAAUUUUGGACAAUGGGCGCAAGCCUGAUCCAGCAAUGCCGCGUGCAGGAUGAAGGCCUGGUGUAACUGCUUUGUAC
rnacentral:rRNA from 1 species